UUAUUUUUCCCCAAAAAUCAUUUCAACCCCUUAAUUUAUUACCCAGCAUUUCCACGAAAUCCCCCAAAAUCCUCCCAAUUACAUCUCAAUAUCUCCAAUUUAUUAUCCAAACCCACCAAAUCCCUAAAUCUUCUUUAACCCCAACCCCACCAAAUCCCUAAAUCUUCCAUAUAAGAAAGAUGAGCCAUGUCUCUUCCGCUCCGAGCUCGAGUGAAACCUCCUCAAACCGAACAAGAGUAAGAGUUGCUGGGAUUCCAAAGAGGUGUAGGUGUGGCGACGAAAUCGUUUAAAAGAUCUCUAAAUCAGUCCCAAAUCCUUACCGCCGCUACUACCGAUGCAAAUAUGCUUCUGAUAGAAACCUUAUGAACGAUACCCAUGUCUUCAAGUGGGUGGACGAGGCAUUGGUAAAUGAGGUAGAACAGUUGGAUUUUCAAGUUAGUGUUCUUGAAGAAGAAGUUGCACUGCUAAAGAUGGGGAGAAAGA